GGCCAUUUAGCUCAAAUGGUCAGAGUGUGGUGCUUAUAAUGCCAAGGUCAUGGGUUCAAUCCCCAUAAUGGCCA
rfam:Xiphophorus maculatus strain JP 163 A Contig12.26, whole genome shotgun sequence.